AGAGUUUGAUCAUGGCUCAGAACGAACGCUGGCGGCAGGCUUAACACAUGCAAGUCGAACGCAUCCUUCGGGGUGAGUGGCAGACGGGUGAGUAACGCGUGGGAACGUGCCCUUCAGUUCGGAAUAACCCAGGGAAACUUGGGCUAAUACCGGAUACGCCCGAAAGGGGAAAGAUUGAUCGCUGAAGGAUCGGCCCGCGUCUGAUUAGCUAGUUGGUGGGGUAAUGGCCCACCAAGGCGACGAUCAGUAGCUGGUCUGAGAGGAUGAUCAGCCACAUUGGGACUGAGACACGGCCCAAACUCCUACGGGAGGCAGCAGUGGGGAAUAUUGGACAAUGGGCGCAAGCCUGAUCCAGCCAUGCCGCGUGAGUGAUGAAGGCCUUAGGGUUGUAAAGCUCUUUCAGCGGGGACGAUAAUGACGGUACCCGCAGAAGAAGCCCCGGCUAACUUCGUGCCAGCAGCCGCGGUAAUACGAAGGGGGCUAGCGUUGUUCGGAAUCACUGGGCGUAAAGGGCGCGUAGGCGGCUUUGUAAGUCGGGGGUGAAAGCCUGUGGCUCAACCACAGAAUUGCCUUCGAUACUGCAUGGCUUGAGACCGGAAGAGGUUAGUGGAACUGCGAGUGUAGAGGUGAAAUUCGUAGAUAUUCGCAAGAACACCAGUGGCGAAGGCGGCUGACUGGUCCGGUUCUGACGCUGAGGCGCGAAAGCGUGGGGAGCAAACAGGAUUAGAUACCCCGGUAGUCC
rnacentral:rRNA from 2 species